rnacentral:rRNA from 1 species
GAUGAACGCUGGCGGCGUGCCUAAUACAUGCAAGUCGAGCGAACAGACGAGGAGCUUGCUCCUCUGACGUUAGCGGCGGACGGGUGAGUAACACGUGGAUAACCUACCUAUAAGACUGGGAUAACUUCGGGAAACCGGAGCUAAUACCGGAUAAUAUAUUGAACCGCAUGGCUCAAUAGUGAAAGACGGUUUUGCUGUCACUUAUAGAUGGAUCCGCGCCGCAUUAGCUAGUUGGUAAGGUAACGGCUUACCAAGGCAACGAUGCGUAGCCGACCUGAGAGGGUGAUCGGCCACACUGGAACUGAGACACGGUCCAGACUCCUACGGGAGGCAGCAGUAGGGAAUCUUCCGCAAUGGGCGAAAGCCUGACGGAGCAACGCCGCGUGAGUGAUGAAGGUCUUCGGAUCGUAAAACUCUGUUAUUAUGGAAGAACAAAUGUGUAAGUAACUAUGCACGUCUUGACGGUACCUAAUCAGAAAGCCACGGCUAACUACGUG